AGUGAACGCUGGCGGUAGGCCUAACACAUGCAAGUCGAACGGCAGCACAGUAAGAGCUUGCUCUUACGGGUGGCGAGUGGCGGGCGGGUGAGGAAUACAUCGGAAUCUACUUUUUCGUGGGGGAUAACGUAGGGAAACUUACGCUAAUACCGCAUACGACCUACGGGUGAAAGCAGGGGAUCUUCGGACCUUGCGCGAUUGAAUGAGCCGAUGUCGGAUUAGCUAGUUGGCGGGGUAAAGGCCCACCAAGGCGACGAUCCGUAGCUGGUCUGAGAGGAUGACCAGCCACACUGGAACUGAGACACGGUCCAGACUCCUACGGGAGGCAGCAGUGGGGAAUAUUGGACAAUGGGCGCAAGCCUGAUCCAGCCAUACCGCGUGGGUGAAGAAGGCCUUCGGGUUGUAAAGCCCUUUUGUUGGGAAAGAAAAGCAGCAGGUUAAUACCCCGCUGUUCUGACGGUACCCAAAGAAUAAGCACCGGCUAACUUCGUG
rnacentral:rRNA from 1 species